UACGUAGGGUGCAAGCGUUGUCCGGAAUUAUUGGGCGUAAAGAGCUCGUAGGCGGUCUGUUACGUCGGCUGUGAAAACCUGGGGCUCAACCCCGGGCCUGCAGCCGAUACGGGCAGACUAGAAUUCGGUAGGGGACCACGGAAUUCCUGGUGUAGCGGUGAAAUGCGCAGAUAUCAGGAGGAACACCGGUGGCGAAGGCGGUGGUCUGGGCCGGUACUGACGCUGAGGAGCGAAAGCGUGGGGAGCGAACAGG
rnacentral:rRNA from 1 species